AGGGAAAGGUGAAAAGAACCCCGGGAGGGGAGUGAAAUAGAACAUGAAACCCUAUGCUUACAAACAGACAAAGCAUGUUAAGGUGUGAUGUCGUACUUUUUGUAGAACGGUCCAGCGAGUUAUUGUAUAUGGCAAGGUUAAGCACUAUGUAAGGUGUGAAGCCGAAGCGAAAGCGAGUCUGAAAAGGGCGAAUUAAGUCAUAUGUAAUAGACCCGAAACCGAGUGACCUAACCAUGGUCAGGAUGAAGCUUGAGUAAAAUCAAGUGGAGGUCCGAACUGAUAAGCGUUAAAAAGCUUCCGGAUGAACUGUGGUUAGCGGAGAAAUUCCAAUCGAACUCGGAGAUAGCUGGUUCUCCUCGAAAUAGCUUUAGGGCUAGCCUUGAUGUAAAGAUAUAUGGGGGUAGAGCACUGAAGGUGCUAGGGGCCUAAACCAGGUUACUGAACACUAUCAAACUCCGAAUACCAUAUAUUAGUAGUCAGGAGUCAGACUGCGGGAGCUAAGUUCCGUGGUCAAAAGGGAAAGAGCCCAGAUCGUCAAUUAAGGUCCCAAAGAUAUAGCUAAGUGGGAAACGAUGUGAAAUUGCGUAAACAACCAGGAUGUUGGCUUAGAAGCAGCCAUACAUUUAAAGAGUGCGUAAUAGCUCACUGGUCGAGUGAAUUUGCGCGGAAAAUUACCGGGGCUAAGCUAUACACCGAAAUUGCGGGUUCAUAAGUAAUUAUGAGCGGUAGAGGAGCAUUCUGUAGUAGGGUGAAGUAUGAUCGAAAGGACAUAUGGACGAGGCAGAAGAGAGAAUGCUGGAAUAAGUAGCGAGAGCAAAGUGAGAAUCUUUGCCGUCGAAAGUCUAAGGUUUCCUGGGGAAGGUUCGUCCGCCCAGGGUAAGUCGGGACCUAAGGUGAGGCCAAGGAGGCGUAGCCGAUGGAUAGCAGGUAUAAAAUUCCUGCACUACCGAAAUACUUAAAAACGAUAAGGGACGCAGGAGAGGAAGGAAAUCCGGGAAGAGGAAAAACCGGAGCCGAAAGGCAUAGUGAAAAUUUAAAGUAACGAAGUUCCAAGAAUCACACUGACGAGAAAAGCUUAUUGACAUUGUAUUAAGGUACCCGUACCGCAAACCGACACAGGUAGAUGAGGAGAGGAUCCUAAGACGAGCGAGAGAAGUACUGUUAAGGAACUCGGCAAACUAACCCCGUAACUUAGGGAGAAGGGGUACCUAUGUAAAAGUAGGUCGCAGAGAAGAGUCCCAAGCAACUGUUUAACAAAAACACAGGUUUCUGCUAAAUCGAAAGAUGAAGUAUAGGAGCUGACGCCUGCCCAGUGCUGGAAGGUUAAGGGGAAAUGUUAGAGUAAUCGAAGCAUAGAACUAAAGCCCCAGUGAACGGCGGCCGUAACUAUAACGGUCCUAAGGUAGCGAAAUUCCUUGUCAGGUAAGUUCUGACCCGCACGAAAGGCGUAAUGAUUUGGGAGCUGUCUCGACAGUAUACUCGGCGAAAUUGUAGUACUAGUGAAGAUGCUAGUUACCUGCGACAAGACAGAAAGACCCCAUGGAGCUUUACUGUAGCUUGAUAUUGGGUUUCGGUAAUUUAUGUACAGGAUAGGUGGGAGACUAUGAAGCAAGAGCGUCAGCUUUUGUGGAGUCACCCUUGGGAUACCACCCUUAAAUUAUUGGAAUUCUAACCUGUGAUCAUGAACUGGUCAGGGGACAAUGUCAGGCGGGCAGUUUGACUGGGGCGGUCGCCUCCUAAAGAGUAACGGAGGCGCCCAAAGGUUUCCUCAACCCGGACAGAAAUCGGGUGAAAGAGUGCAAAGGCAGAAGGAAGCUUAACUGAAAGACAGACAUGUCGAGCAGAUACGAAAGUAGGGCUUAGUGAU
rnacentral:rRNA from 1 species